rnacentral:sRNA from 1 species
UUUUUUAAAAACCAAAUAUCCGCUUCGAUCCUUAUAUUUUGAUAUAU